UAGAUCUGUUGUCAUGAUCACGAUCUUAAAUUAAUGUAUGGACUGAAUUUGGUAUAAGUGGCAAACUGGCAAGUUGAAUUGUCCCAAUUCUAGUAUUGAACACUUUAGUGAUGAGAAUAGACGAUUUUUUGCUUUCGCUGACAGUCCACAUUUAGAAAUAGAUAAUAUACCUAAUAAUAAAGUCUUAAAAAUUGAUCCAAAUGAAAAUUUUGUCAAAUGGGAACAUUUUGAAAUUCUCCAUGAGCAAGACAAAAUCAAUUGUGUCAGCCAGUUAAAAGUUUGCCCGAAAAUCACUGAAAAUCAUAUUAAAUUACUAAAUACUUGCCUGAAAAUGCGAGUUUGAUUAGCUACACAAAUUCUUAGUAAGUCAGUUGCUGAUGGGUUAUUAUUUAAUAAAAAGCACCAAAUACAAGGUCUUCAAAACUGUGAUUUAACAAUUAAGUUUUGUUUAGUUUUUAAUGAUAUGUUUGAUGCACUAAAUGCAAAAUUCCUAGUCAAGGUAUUAAUUCAAAUUCAAAAAACUAUGAGGUACUCCAGCGUUCUUUAGACUGGUUAAACAUAUGGGAAAAUAAUUUGAUAUCUGGAAAAAUAAGCGCUGAUGAAUUCUUAACUACAAGUACAGCUGAAGGGUUGCGAGUUACCUUAAUAUCAUGUAAACAACUGGCUGGUUAUAUGAUUGAAAAAUAUGAAAUCCACUAUCUUCUUUCAAGAAAAAUAAAUCAAGAUUCUCUCGAACAGUUUUUUGGUACAGUUCGUAUGUAUUCUGGUGCAAAUGACCACCCUUCAUCGGCAACUUUCUUACAAGUAUAUAAAUUAUUAUCAGCAUACUCUAUAUUAAAACCUCCAAAAUAUGGGAACUGUACUGUAGAAGCAGACACUAUUAAUGAAAAUUUUGUCAUGUUUCAUAGUUCAUUAUUACUUAUUAGAUAUAAUUGGAGAAAUAAAUAUUUUUUUUAUACAUAGAA